rnacentral:rRNA from 1 species
GGGCUGCAGUAUUUUGACUGUACAAAGGUAGCAUAAUCAAUAGUCUYUUAAUUGGUGACUUGUAUGAAAGAUUGGAUGAAAUAUAUACUGUCUYUAAUUAAUUUAUAGAAAUUAAUUUUUUAGUAAAAAAGCUAAAAUAAUUUUAAAAGACGAGAAGACCCUAUAGAGUUUAAUAAUUUAUUUAAUUAUAUUUAUUAUAUAAUUUUUAAAAUUAAAAUUAAAUGAAUUAUUUUGUUGGGGUGAUAGAAAAAUUAAAUUAACUUUUUUUAAUUGUUAACAUUAAUUUAUGAUUAAAUGAUCCAUUAAUAAUGAUUAAAAGAAAAAAUUACCUUAGGGAUAACAGCGUAAUUUUUUUUUUUAGUUCAAAUAGGAAAAAAAGUUUGCGACCUCGAUGUUGGAUUAA